ACUUGCAAACUAAGGGGAAUGAGCUUCCCCCUGAAUGUUUAUGAAGGAGAGGCCACUGUGAGGAUAGACAGUGAAGUGCAACUACAGCCCGCAGAUGAAAAUGAAUAACAUUAAUCCAGCCCCUCAAGGCAGUCAUCUGUCUUAGAGCUAUUGGAAUCCUGGAUCAUUGUGGGAAAUGAAAGAUACUUCAAUGGAAUCAGCAGCCAUUGAUCCAAUGCCAACUCCAAGACUGGAACGUCGCAAUGAUAGUUCCAAGGCGGAAAUUUGACGUAAUUCUUUUCGACACAGUUUUACAGGUCUGGAUGCCCAUUUUAAUUCUUCUGAAAGCAUGCCUCCUUCUUCUGGUUUCAGGACUCCAUCUCCAGCCUCAUGAUCUAAAAAUAAUGCCCAAACCAAGACAUUAGAUAUUAUUUCCUCAAAAUUAGGUAUUUUAAUCAAAACAUCUUAACGUAAAUACAUUAUUAUCAUCCAAUAUG
rnacentral:lncRNA from 1 species